CUAGAAGGUAAGUACAGUCUGUAUUAGAAUGCAGCUGUUCUACGAGCUAGCAGCUUUUACUGUUCGCACUGGCCUUGACGUUAAUAUUUGAUUAGGAACAGGGAGCCGCUGACAUGUCGCAGCGGUAUCUGACUCACUGUACCAGAGUUCAACCUGGCAUCAAGGACAAGAAAGACGGGACUCCAAAUGGAAAAAUCGACAUGAAAACUACCAAAAUGCUUCAGGAAAUGAGGGGAGAGAGAGAGAGAGAGAGGUCGCACUGAAACCAGAGAUGCUACGAUUACAUGAUCAGCAUGCUGAACACCUCAACCACCGUAUAUGUUGACAUUUGAGUGUUUGUUUGAAUGACACGAUCUCAGAUUAAAGAUAAAAGCCUGAAAUGUUCA